AACUAUGCCUGGUCAGGACGAAGUCAGGGGAAACCCUGAUGGAGGUUCGUAGCGAUUCUGACGUGCAAAUCGAUCGUCGGAACUGGGUAUAGGGGCGAAAGACUAAUCGAACCAUCUAGUAGCUGGUUCCCUCCGAAGUUUCCCUCAGGAUAGCUGGCGCUUAUACCAGUCUCAUCCGGUAAAGCGAAUGAUUAGAGGCCUUGGGGCCGAAACGACCUCAACCUAUUCUCAAACUUUAAAUGGGUGAGAAGACAGGCUUGCUUGAUCGAAGCUCUGUCAAUGGAUGGUGAGUGCCAAGUGGGCCACUCUUGGUAAGCAGGACUGGCGCUGUGGGAUGAACCAAACGCUGGGUUAAGGCGCCCGAAUCGACGCUCAUGAGAUACCAUAAAAGGCGUUGGUUGCUUAAGACAGCAGGACGGUGGCCAUGGAAGUCGGAA
rnacentral:rRNA from 1 species